GGGUUAGGGUUAGGGUUAGGGUUAGGGUUAGGGUUAGGGUUAGGGUUAGGGUUAGGGUUAGGUUUGGGUUAGGGCGCUCCCUCAAGCGCCAUGCAAAACUGCAUGGGGCUAGAGGAGAGGAGGGCACGGGCACAAGCAAUUAAAAUACGUUAUAAACUUUUAUCACCAUAAAAUCAUAAAAUCAAUGAAAUAAAAUACAUAAAAGGAAUAAAAUAAAUGAAAGGAAUAAAAUAUAGGCUGAGUGGUUAAGGUUAGGAGAGGGGGAGGGAAGAGGUUAUGUUAAGGAUUUAAAACAGGAUAUGUUGUAGGAAGGCUUUGGUGAGGACCCGGACGAAUAGAUGGGUCCUCGUUGAGGCCAUGGGGGGCUGUGGUGGACAGCCUAUAAAUCCACCUCCGUUCCGCAGCUCUCCUCUGGCCCAGAGACCAACUGGCGUUGGUCUCGAGCCCUGACAGUAAGAAGUUAGUGAUGUGAUGAGUAAUGAAAUGGCUAUAUAGUCUUUUAUUGUCUGUUCCUUUUUGUAUAUGAUAAAUGUGUUGAUAUAGUCUCUGUUUUAUGGUUGCCCCCGUUUCUCCCACAUAGAUGCUCCUGCAACGUCUGCACUGUAUGGCAUAGACGACGUUGCAGGAGAGUAGUGUGAAGGACUGCGUGAUGGGGACACCGGCACGAGAGCUGGAGAUGUACUUGAGGUUUGAAAAGGAGGACUGGCCGGUCUGGUUGGAAGAGGGCGAUCACUUCCCCUUUAAUGGUCCGAAGGAAGCGUUUGGAGUAGCCACGUGGUCUAAGGGCCUUAAAGAGGAUCCUGGUGGCCUCCUCCACGUGCUGGGGUAGAGAACAGAUGCGGUGGAAACGGAUUAGUUGGGAUUUGAUAAUGGAGCUGAAGGUGUGCCGGGGGUGAUAACUGGAAUUAAAUAAUAGUGAAUGUCUGUCUGUGUCUUUAAAAUAAACCUUAGUUGAUAAUGAUUUGUGUCCAUCCUUCGUGUCUGUAAAGAAAACUACUGUGUCAAGGAAGGGGACCUGUUGGAGAUGAAGGGUGUGUUUGAGUUUAAUACGGGGGUGGUGUGAGUUAAGGAUCUGAAUAAAAUGGUUAAAAUCGGCUUCUGAUUUGUCCCAGAGGCCAAAGAUGUCGUCUAGAUAACGGUAAUAGACUAGGGGGCGUGACGGGCAUUUAAGGAAAGCAGAUUCCUCCCAGUCUGCGAGGUAGAUGUCUGCGUAAGCCGGUGAAUAUUUUCUUCCCAUAGCGCAACCGCAUAUUUGAAGGAAGAAGGCUUUAUCAAAUAAAAAGUCAUUGCGGCCUCGAGGCCCAGAACAGUGUCGAUGUUUGUGUACAGGGAGUCGACGUCAAUGGAAAAGAUAAACGUGUUAACAGGGACGGUAAGGUUCUUUAAUUUGUUUACAAAUGUGUAAGUGUCCUUCAGGUAGCUCGGGUGGGUGUGGGAUAGGGGGUUGAUGUAAUGGUCUAUGAACUCUGCCAGGUGAUAAGAUUCGGAGCCACAGUCGCUGACUAUAGGGCGUCCUGGGGGAAUUACGAAUGGAAGGGUCCAAGUUUCUGGGGGUUUAUGUAUUUUGGGGAGAAGGUAAAAUAACCUCGCUCGAGGGAGAUCCGGGCCGUAUAGGUAAUGAGCCUGUUUAGCGUU